rnacentral:rRNA from 1 species
UACGUAGGCAGCGAGCGUUGUUCGGAGUUACUGGGCGUAAAGCGUGCGCAGGCGGUUUUGUAAGUCAGAUGUGAAAUCCCCGGGCUUAACCUGGGAACUGCGUUUGAAACUACAAGGCUAGAGUGUGGCAGAGGGGGGUGGAAUUCCACGUGUAGCAGUGAAAUGCGUAGAGAUGUGGAGGAACACCGAUGGCGAAGGCAGCCCCCUGGGUUAACACUGACGCUCAGGCACGAAAGCGUGGGGAGCAAACAGG